UGCAGAUUCAAUCAGUCCAGUUUCCAGCAUUUCUCUUCUCCCUACAGAGAGUCAGAAUAUGAGGAGAAAGAGCAAAAACAACAGAGUUUCAGAUCCUCCUUUGAGCAGCUGCAGCAUCAGUUCAGUCACUGUGACUCUGACUGACACAGGUUUUUGUACCACGCUUUAUCACUGUGUGAACACACGUUUACUGUUGAUGUUGUGGUAACUCUGACAGUAAUAAUGUCCAGCAUCUUCAGUCUGGACUCCACUGAUGGUCAGAGUGAAAUCAGUCCCACCUGACUCUCCAUUCCCACUGAAUCGACUGAAACUCUCAUCAUAGAGAUCGUUUACACCAUAAAUGAUGAGUUUAGGAGCUUCUCCAGGUUUCUGCUGAUACCAAGCUAAACCCCAGCUAGUUAUUCCAGGAUCAGUUUUACACUCUAUCGUGGCGUCUUGUCGUUCAGAAACAGUCACAGCUUCAGGCUGAGUCACAGUGAUUCCUCUGGAUGCUGCUG